rnacentral:rRNA from 1 species
CCAAUAGCGUAUAUUAAAGUUGUUGCAGUUAAAAAGCUCGUAGUUGAAUUUCGGGAUCAAUACGUCGGUCGUGCCUCUGGUAUGUACUGGUGUUAUUGAUUUCUCCCUUCUGAUGAACCAUGAUGUCAUUCAUUUGGUGUUGUGUGGAGUCAGGACUGUUACUUUGAAAAAAUUAGAGUGUUUAAAGCAGGCUCACGCUUGAAUACAUUAGCAUGGAAUAAUGAAAUAGGACGUUCGAUCCUAUUUUGUUGGUUUCUAGGAUCAACGUAAUGAUUAAUAGGGAUAGUUGGGGGCAUUAGUAUUCAAUUGUCAGAGGUGAAAUUCUUGGAUUUAUUGAAGACUAACUACUGCGAAAGCAUUUGCCAAGGAUGUUGUCAUUAAUCAAGAACGAAAGUUAGGGGAUCGAAGACGAUCAGAUACCGUCGUAGUCUUAACCAUAAACUAUGCCGACUAGGGAUCGGAUGAUGUUAAUUUUUUAAUGACUCAUUCGGCGCCUUACG